UGCCGUCCAUCCGUCCCAUUGCGGUGUCCGUCUGUCCGUCCAUCCAUCCCAAUGGUGUCCGUCUGUCCAUCCAUCCCAAUGACGUCCGUCCAUCUCAAUGGUGUCCGUCUGUCCGUCCAUUGCAGUGCUGUCCGUCCAUCCAUCCCAAUGACAUCCAUCCAUCCCAAUGGUGUCCGUCCGUCCGUCUGUCCAUCACAGUGCCUGCUGUCCGUCCAUCCCAAUGGUGUCCGUCCGUCCGUCCAUCCCAAUGACGUCCAUUCAUCCCAAUGAUGUCUGUCCGUCCAUCCAUUGCAGUGCCGUCCAUCCAUCCAUCCCAAUGGUGUCCGUCUGUCUGUCCGUCACAGUGCUGUCCGUCCAUCCCAAUGCUGUCCGUCUGCCCAUCCAUCCCAGUGAUGUCCGUCCGUCCGUCCAUUGCAGUGCUGUCCGUCCGUCCAUCCCAAUGGUGUCCGUCUGUCCGUCCGUCCAUCCCAUCCCAUCCCCCCACCUCUCCAAUGCUGGAAGAGGCGAUGCGGAGGAGGAAGAAGAGGGUUUGGG
ensembl:lncRNA